GGUCGCAUUAACCCUCUCCCUGCUGCUGUUAUAGGAUUGCGUUAACCCUCUCCCUGCUGCUGUUAUAGGAUUGUGUUAACCCUCUCCCUGCUGAUGUUGUAGGAUUGCGUUAACCCUCUCCCUGCUGAUGUUGUAGGAUUGCGUUAACCCUCUCCCUGCUGCUGUUAUAGGAUCGUGUUAACCCUCUCCCUGCUGAUGUUGUAGGAUCGUGUUAACCCUCUCCCUGCUGCUGUUGUAGGAUCGCGUUAACCCUCUCCCUGCUGCUGUGCAGUUUGUUUCAGUAGCUCACACUGUAUUACUCUGGAUCUGGAGCGACAGCUAUGCAGUGCAGAGGGUUUUAUGUACAAAUUCACAAGAGAGACUCCGGACCGUGUGUUUACCAUUAACAUUCCCAGGGAGUUUCUUUUGCUGGAUGAUGUGAAAUCUCACUGUCCGUGGCCUUGGAGUAAUCAGCUGUUACGUGGCAGCUCGUGGCUAACCUUACCAAACCGAGCACAGCCAUUCUUAUAUUCCAAGUCUGAGAAUAAAGGGUUCAAUCAUUCUUUCUAAACCCUCCAUUUCACAGCUACUGCACCUCCAUCCUGCCCUGCAGCUCUCUCUGCUAUUCCUGUACUGACCCCACACACAGCUCUGUCACUGCACCUCCAUCCUGCCCUGCAGCUCUCUCUGCUAUUCCUGUACUGACCCCACACAGCUCUCUCUCUGCUAUUCCUGUACUGACCCCACACACAGCUCUGUCACUGCACCUCCAUCCUGCCCUGCAGCUCUCUCUGCUAUUCCUGUACUGACCCCACACACAGCUCUGUCACUACACCUCCAUCCUGCCCUGCAGCUCUCUCUGCUAUUCCUGUACUGACCCCUCACACAGCUCUGUCACUGCACCUCCAUCCUGCCCUGCAGCUCUCUCUGCUAUUCCUGUACUGACCCCACACACAGCUCUGUCACUGCACCUCCAUCCUGCCCUGCAGCUCUCUCUGCUAUUCCUGUACUGACCCCACACACAGCUCUGUCACUACACCUCCAUCCUGCCCUGCAGCUCUCUCUGCUAUUCCUGUA